UACGUAGGGUGCAAGCGUUGUCCGGAAUUAUUGGGCGUAAAGGGCUCGUAGGCGGUCCAUCGCGUCGGGAGUGAAAAGCUGGGGCUCAACCCCAGUCCUGCUUCCGAUACGGGUGGACUAGAGGUAUGCAGGGGAGAACGGAAUUCCUGGUGUAGCGGUGGAAUGCGCAGAUAUCAGGAGGAACACCUAUGGCGAAGGCGGUUCUCUGGGACGGUACUGACGCUGAGACGCGAAAGCGUGGGGAGCGAACAGG
rnacentral:rRNA from 1 species